rnacentral:rRNA from 1 species
AGAGUUUGAUCCUGGCUCAGAUUGAACGCUGGCGGCAAGCCUAACACAUGCAAGUCGAGCGGCAGCGAGAAGAGAGCUUGCUCUCUUUGUCGGCAAGCGGCAAACGGGUGAGUAAUAUCUGGGGAUCUACCCAAAAGAGGGGGAUAACUACUAGAAAUGGUAGCUAAUACCGCAUAAUGUUGAAAAACCAAAGUGGGGGACCUUUUGGCCUCAUGCUUUUGGAUGAACCCAGACGAGAUUAGCUUGUUGGUAGAGUAAUAGCCUACCAAGGCAACGAUCUCUAGCUGGUCUCAGAGGAUAACCAGCCACACUGGAACUGAGACACGGUCCAGACUCCUACGGGAGGCAGCAGUGGGGAAUAUUGCACAAUGGGCGAAAGCCUGAUGCAGCUAUGCCGCGUGUAUGAAGAAGGCCUUAGGGUUGUAAAGUACUUUCAGCGGGGAGGAAAAAAAUAAAACUAAUAAUUUUAUUUCGUGACGUUACCCGCAGAAGAAGCACCGGCUAACUCCGUGCCAGCAGCCGCGGUAAUACGGAGGGUGCAAGCGUUAAUCAGAAUUACUGGGCGUAAAGAGCGCGUAGGUGGUUUUUUAAGUCAGGUGUGAAAUCCCUAGGCUCAACCUAGGAACUGCACUUGAAACUGGAAAACUAGAGUUUCGUAGAGGGAGGUAGAAUUCUAGGUGUAGCGGUGAAAUGCGUAGAUAUCUGGAGGAAUACCCGUGGCGAAAGCGGCCUCCUAAACGAAAACUGACACUGAGGCGCGAAAGCGUGGGGAGCAAACAG